UAUUCAUGCAGGUCGAGCGAAUGGAUUAAGAGCUUGCUCUUAUGAAGUUAGCGGCGGACGGGUGAGUAACACGUGGGUAACCUGCCCAUAAGACUGGGAUAACUCCGGGAAACCGGGGCUAAUACCGGAUAACAUUUUGAACCGCAGGUUCGAAAUUGAAAGGCGGCUUCGGCUGUCACUUAUGGAUGGACCCGCGUCGCAUAGCUAGUUGGUGAGGUAACGGCUCACCAAGGCAACGAUGCGUAGCCGACCUGAGAGGGUGAUCGGCCACACUGGGACUGAGACACGGCCCAGACUCCUACGGGAGGCAGCAGUAGGGAAUCUUCCGCAAUGGACGAAAGUCUGACGGAGCAACGCCGCGUGAGUGAUGAAGGCUUUCGGGUCGUAAAACUCUGUUGUUAGGGAAGAACAAGUGCUAGUUGAAUAAGCUGGCACCUUGACGGUACCUAACCAGAAAGCCACGGCUAACUACGUGCCAGCAGCCGCGGUAAUACGUAGGUGGCAAGCGUUAUCCGGAAUUAUUGGGCGUAAAGCGCGCGCAGGUGGUUUCUUAAGUCUGAUGUGAAAGCCCACGGCUCAACCGUGGAGGGUCAUUGGAAACUGGGAGACUUGAGUGCAGAAGAGGAAAGUGGAAUUCCAUGUGUAGCGGUGAAAUGCGUAGAGAUAUGGAGGAACACCAGUGGCGAAGGCGACUUUCUGGUCUGUAACUGACACUGAGGCGCGAAAGCGUGGGGAGCAAACAGGUUAGCCCCUUUUGU
rnacentral:rRNA from 1 species